AGUUAGUUAGUCCUUGCCUGUGGAGAUUCAUAGGUUAAGCAACAUCAUCUGAAGUGCCAUCAGCGGUGACUGGGGUUUCUUUGGCUGAGAAAGAACUUUUUGCUGCUUCACGUGGGGAAAGCAGCCUCUUGCAGCUCAUUUCCAGAGAAAAUGCACAAACACACAGAGAACAGGUUUUAGAAGCAGAAAAGCAACCAGAGAGAUUGUUCAAAGUCAACUCCAUUUAAUGUAGAAGACAAGGAGCAUAAACAAUGAACUGAAGAUAUAAAUUUGUUUUCAGGCGAGCCAGGUAAUGGGCCUCCUUGAAAGCUGAAAAGGGCCAUGCUGAGAAUGCAGGGAAAGCGAUACUGAAGACAAGGAUGUUUGUGGGACAAGAAGCAAGGCAUACCAUAAUAUUACUCCCAUUCUCCUUGGACCACCGAUUUCAAGGAUGUUCGAAGCAAGAUACAGCUGCCUCUCCGCAGUCUGUUCUACAGGCAUUUAGAAGAAAUGGAAAGAAGGAAUACCCCUGAGGUGGAGGUCAUCCCUGCUAGAUCACAUUUGCCUGCUCUGAUUCACUCUCAGGAGGAGCACUGCAAAGAGAAGGUACCUCUUCAUACAGAUCUUGCUGGAUACAACUGGAUCAAUUGAACUUAUGUGAGAGAGAGGUACAAAGGAAGUAAAUGCAGGUACGUAGAUAAUUUACAGGAAAGUUUAGCCAAAGUAGCUAAGUUUUUACUAACAUACAAUUAGCUGAAAGUGAUGGAUUUUCUUCAAGUUUUGGGUAACUUACUAGUUAAUAUGCUGGACCAUUUUUCCUGAAUAUGUUCAGAACUGUGUAGGUUUUUGAGUCUUCUAUUUCUAAUAACAGACAGAGCAAAUUUUAAAGGAGAAGGAAAAAAGCAAAACAAAACACACACACAUGCAUACAAAAAAUGCAAAAACAAAAACAGCAACAAAAACCUCCAUUGGUGGGUUUUGGAAUCUCUUAAUCCUAUUUUUGCUUGUCUCAAUACCAUGUGCAUUUCCUGAAGGGGCUUGUGUGCUGAUCUGCACUAUUACCAUAUGUUCUACAUAUGAAAAUAAUUCAGUGAGAGUAGUUGUCUAUGUUUGUAUGCGGUGCAUAUACACAACAUACAAACACACACACACACAUUCUUAUUUAUACUCAUAAAUCAUUGCUUUCAAGAACAGAUGCCCUUCUACUGCUCUGUACCUCAGUGUUUCUACACUCGAGAGUGCCUUAAUUUGGAAAAAAUUGCAACUGUCACAGCUCUGCUGCAGUAAUGGUUUUGUAAGAACCAACUUAAUAAAAACAUCAAGCCUCUCUGUUCCAAACAAUUUUAUUAUAGUUAACAACUCAGCCAGUUAUCAAAUAUGUUGUCACCAAUGCACUCUGUCUUCGUGAAUGAUGACAUGGACGAGCCCUGGAUUUCUGUAGUGCUUUACACAUAUACACAGUGCCUUACAGCUGUGUAGCAGCGUUUCCUUAAGGAAUAAAACUGCACAGGAAGUAGAUAGAUGAACCAUGUGAUAACUAUUUUUUGAUGAAAAGCUUCUACAGACAUCAAAUUAGUUUACCUGAAAUAAUUUAAACAACAGUAGAAUAAUUACAAAGUCCACUGUCUGGACCUUGACUUUUCUGAAACAAGCAUACAAUUUUUAAUAAUCAUGACCUUCACCUUCAGCUCUGACCUUUGUCUCUCCAAAACAUACCCCUUUGCUGUAUAUGCAUGGAUGUCUUAACAUGAAUAACCUCCUUAAUGUAGAUACUUAUAUAUCUAAACUUCACAGAGACUUUUAUGUGCCUUGAAUGUAGUUUCUAUGUAAAGUGUGUGUUCAUGUAAAAGCCAUAGUUUUCCACUUAGUACUUUUUUUCAUUAAAAGCACAUUGAUGUCACCU
rnacentral:lncRNA from 7 species